UACAGAGGGUGCGAGCGUUGUCCGGAAUCACUGGGCGUAAAGGGCGCGUAGGCGGCCUGGUAAGUAGGGGGUGAAAUCCUGCGGCUCAACCGCAGGGCUGCCUUCUAAACUGCCAGGCUGGAGCACGGUAGAGGCAGAUGGAAUUCCCGGUGUAGCGGUGGAAUGCGUAGAGAUCGGGAAGAACACCAGUGGCGAAGGCGGUCUGCUGGGCCGUUGCUGACGCUGAGGCGCGACAGCGUGGGGAGCAAACAGG
rnacentral:rRNA from 1 species